rnacentral:rRNA from 1 species
GAUGAACGCUAGCGGCAGGCUUAAUACAUGCAAGUCAAGGGGGUAGCAAUACAACCGGCGCACGGGUGAGUAACACGUACACAACAUACCAUAUACUGAGGUAUAGCUUCGGGAAACUGAAGGUAAUCCCUCAUAGUAUUGUGAAAGGGCAUCUUUUUACAAUUAAAGUUUCGACGGUAUAUGAUUGGUGUGCGUUUGAUUAGCUAGUUGGUAGGGUAACGGCCUACCAAGGCAACGAUCAAUAGCUGGCGUGAGAGCGCGACCAGCCACACUGGAACUGAGACACGGUCCAGACUCCUACGGGAGGCAGCAGUAGGGAAUAUUGGACAAUGGGCGAAAGCCUGAUGCAGCGACGCCGCGUGUGGGAAGAAGGAGCUUAGCUUCGUAAACCACUGUCGGAGGGGACGAAUGGUAGGUUAGACCUACUGAGACGGUACCCUCAAAGGAAGGAUCGGCUAACUACGUGCCAGCAGCCGCGGUAAAG